ACAAGAUCAAAAAGAUUUUUUGGCUGGAAAUAAGGUUUUAAAACUUGGUUAGGUGGACAUUUUUUGCAGUGUACCUGUASUGAUACAUACAGAUUUUCUGAGGGGGCGGGGCUUAAUCCAGAUAGGUCUCCACCUGCGAAGCUUUCUCCUACAGCAAACCUUCCUCCGUGUUUUUUAUUUUAUUUUUCCACCCCGGCCAGAGUGAUGAAUUCAAGGCAAACCGAACCCUCGUCUACCCCCACCCCCCUCCCUCUUCCUAUUCUCUGCACUACAACCUCAAUUUUCCUCCAUCUCAGAAUAAAAUGUACCCCAGAGACMGCCACACAGUCCCUUCCAUAACACACAAGGUCAGACACAUAAUGGCAUAUUCCAUAGAACACAAUUACAUUUCUUUCCCGCCCUGGUGAACAUGUUCUCCACGUGUGGACGUGUUAGAAAUCUGCUUUACGUAGGACGACGUCUUSCUUCAAUCAAUUCAAUUUGAAACACAAACAGAAAACUUUUACGACUGGAAGAGAGCUGGAUUACAAGUUUACGCUUCGGUGUGGAUUUUUCAUCUUGCCGGACGGAUGGGGGGGGCAUCGAAGAGCGUUUUUGGCGUUUCAAACCAGCAAAAACCGAGACAACGAAAGCGCUGGAGAAGGAGGGGGAGGGGGACACGCCUCAGGGGUACUUGAAGGGCAAAGCAAGAGGCCGUUUGUCCAUCACCGACGAAGACGGAAAGCAGGGGGGGCGGGGAGGCUGAGGGGAAGUGUCAGCCGCCGAGUUUUGAAAAAGAGAGGAGUGAAGUGGAGGAAGGACAGAAGAGGAAGAAGCUGUAGGCCUGCCRGGCUGAUAAGGAGCGGCUUAAAGAGUAGAUUGGAUUGUGUCGAGGCCUUUUCUGUGUUGGGGGAUAAUGCAGUGCAGACUCAGUAGACGGCGGCGGGGGGUGGGGGGGAGGAGGAAAGAAGYGAUAAAGGAAGUGUGAGGACAGAUAGAAGGAAACAGAAGAGAGGAGAUGAUUCCCGAGAUGAAGACGGAGUAGGAGGAGGAGGAGGAGGAGGGAUGUGGUGAGAGAUCUCUUGUUACCGAGCACACGCUAAAAUAAUUAGCCCCGAGGUUGGAGAAACGUGCAAGUGGAUUAGCCGGGCCUAAAAUAACUCACGAGCUGCACCUCUUCCUGGUAAAGCCUCUUUCGUCCGACUCCUGAGAGCGUCGGAUAAAUUUUUUUUCCUGCCGGCGGCUGUGACGUCAUUCAGGAGCCGUCAGUCACGGAGCCAACAGUUGACCGUGCUCAGACCCCCCCCCUCUCUCUCUCUCUCUCCCGUUGGCUGAAAAAUGUGCAGCUGUUACAGUAAAGCCCGCACACUCGUACGGGGCCAGAAAUAGAAACCCCUUUAGCCUGCGCGGGGACACGGCGACAACCUCCAUUAGCUCAAAUGUGAGAGGAUUGAAUCACCUCCGAGCUCCGGGGCUUGAACUCGUCUCUGCGCCGGCUGAGAGCGGGAAUCAUAUUUCUCUUUCGUGCCAUCACUCUCUGUUUUCCCUCCAUCUGAGGUCCAGUGUGGGUUCGCAGCUCCGCUCAGUGACUGAGUCGUAAACAUUAAAAACAGGGGGGGUAGAUUCACACGGGGGACGUCCUGCGUGGUCCUCUUAAGGAAGUUAUGUAGUUAGGCCUUAAACAUUUGUACAGGUCGCCCCAACGCACCAUUGUUGGGGUGACCUGUACAAGUGUUUAAGGCCUAACUACCUACAUAACUUCCUUGAGGACCAUGCAGGACGUCCCCGUGUGGUCCUCUUAAGGAAGUUAUGUAGGUAGUUAGGCCUUAAACACUUGUACAGGUCGCCCCAACGAUGGUGCGCACAGCGCCGCAGAAAUAAUUCGACACUGUUACCCGUGAUGCAGCGUGUGGGGGUGGGGGGUAUCCUUACAGCCACCGCUGUCUCGAGAGGGUGGAGAUAAUGGGGAAUAACGGGGGUAGCAUCAGGCUGGGUGGAAAAAGGAGGGAGCAGACUAGAGGAGGAGUGCAGAGGCAGUCGUGGAGAAGUCAAACCUUUAUCUAUAGGAGGAAGAGAAGAGGGGCGGGGGGCGGGUGGGGGGGAGAGAGAGUGAGGAAGGAAACAGGACAGAGCCGUUAGCAUAUAAAUCACUUCUGCAAUUUGAAUUAACAAGAAAGUCAAGAGAAUUCACGAGGAAACAAGAAAAAAAGGGAAAGGACGGAGGUGUGUGGGGGGGGAAGAGGGGUGAAGAUCAGCAUGAGAGAAAGCUGGAGUUUGACAUCGACUCUGGUGGAAAAAAAAAAGCAAAUUGGCUUGUCCCCACAGCCGGGGACUGGUGAUGCGUAUCGGACGCACUCGGAGGAAGCUUUUUCUGCGGAUAGGAUCACAAUAAAAAGGAAGCAGAGAGGCAAAGCCCAGG